GCGAACGCUAGCGGCAGGCUUAACACAUGCAAGUCGAACGCGUGCCUUCGGGCACGAGUGGCGAACGGGUGAGUAACACGUGGGUCACGUACCCUGAGGUGGGGGAUAACCCGAGGAAACUCGGGCUAAUACCGCAUAUGGCUACGGCUAAAAGCCUUCGGGCGCCUUUGGAACGGCCCGCGGCCGAUUAUUUAAUCCUAGUUGGUGAGGUAACGGCUCACCAAGGGUACGAUCGGUAGCCUGGUCCUGAGAGGACGGAUCAGCCACACUGGACCUGACUACGGUCAGACUCCUACGGGAGGCAGCAGUCGGGAAUAUUUGGGACAAUGGGCGAAAGCCUGAUCCCAGCACGCCGCGUGAAGGAUGAAAGGCCUCGGGAUGUAAAGCCUGUCGCAGAACGGGAAGAAUAAGUACGGUGCUACACAUCGGCGAUGACGGUACUGUUGUAAAGCUCCGGCUAACUCCGUGCCAGCAGCCGCGGUAAUACGGAGGGGCAAGCGUUGUUCGGAAUUACUGGGCGUAAAGGGCCGCGUAGGCGGCCACCUGACAAGUCGGACUGUGAAAGCUCCUGGGCUUAACUCAGGAAUGUCAGCUCGAUACUGCGGGGCUAGAGUACAGGAGAGGGGGGCAACUGGAAUUCUCGGUGCAGGCGGUGAAAUUCGUAGAUAUCAGAGAGGAACACCGGCGGCGAAGGCGGGUUGCCCCUGGCCUGACAACUGACGCUGAUGGUCGAAAGCUGGGGAGCGAACAGGAUUAGAUACCCUGGUAGUCCUACGCCGUAAACGAUGAAUGCUAGGUGUCUGGUGGUUAUUCACCCCAGGUGCCGUAAGCUAACGCAUUAAGCAUUCCGCCUGGGAAGUACGGCCGCAAGGACUGAAAACUCAAAGGAAUUGACGGGGGCCCGCACAAGCGGUGGAGCAUGUGGUUUAAUUCGACGCAACGCGAAGAACCUUACCUGGCCUAGAAUGCCUCAUGGAACACGUAUGAAGUACGGCGUCCUGGGUAACCUCAGGGCAGCCUGGUGACAGGUGCUGCAUGGCUGUCGUCAGCUCGUGUCGUGAGAUGUUCGGUUAAGUCCCGGCAACGAGCGCAACCCCUGUAUCAUAGUUGCCAUCGUUCGGCUGGGCACUCUAAUUGAGACUCCCGUUGACAAGACGGAGGAAGGUGGGGAUGACGUCAAGUCCUCAUGGCCUUAUGGCCAGGGCUACACACGUACUACAAUGGCGAGUACAAAGGCAGCUGCAGACCUGCAGAGGGGAGCCAAUCCCAAAAAGCUCGUCUCAGUUCGGAUUGGAGUCUGCAACUCGACUCCAUGAAGUCUGGAAUCGCUAGUAAUCGCUGAUCAGCAUGCUGCGGUGAAUACGUUCCCGGGCCUUGUACACACCGCCCGUCACAUCACGAAAGUUGGUUGUACUAGAAGUCGCUAACCCAACCUGCAUCAGGAGGCAGGCGCCCACGGUAUGAUCCGAUGAUUGGGGUG
rnacentral:rRNA from 1 species